UACAGAGGGUGCGAGCGUUAAUCGGAGUUACUGGGCGUAAAGGGCGCGUAGGCGGUCUUGUAAGUCUUGUGUGAAAUCCCUCGGCUCAACUGAGGAACUGCACGGGAUACUGCGAGACUUGAGUUCGGGAGAGGGAAGCGGAAUUCCGGGUGUAGCGGUGAAAUGCGUAGAUAUCCGGAGGAACACCGGUGGCGAAGGCGGCUUCCUGGACCGACACUGACGCUGAGGCGCGAAAGCUAGGGGAGCAAACGGG
rnacentral:rRNA from 1 species